AACGACUCAAGGGAAUGACAAUAAGGUAUGCAACACAAGAGAUUUUUUUUUUCUGGAUUUAAACAGAACAUAAACACAAGACAAAACUGGACAGAAAAUUUCGGACAACAACUAAACAACAAAGACAGAUUUCUGACAAGGAAACAACCAAGACAGAUUUCUGACAAGGAAACAACAAAGACAGAUUUCGGACUUGACAAACCCGAGCACUUGAGCUACGAAUUUAGAAGACUAAAAUAGAUCUAAAAACGAUAAAAAGGAUAUUCGUGAUACCUCUAACUAGCUCUGAUACCAGCUGAUACGAGACGCGGAAGCUACUUCGGAUCUAGAGGAACACGAUGAAGAUUUGACGGAGUUGAACCCGAACUUGGACCACUCAAGAACAGAUUUAACGGUAGAGGACGACACAAUCAAGUAUGUGUGCUUGAUUGAUAAGUCAAGAACAGCCUAGGAUCAACUCUAGGAUGUUCAACUUAGCUUUUACAAGCUAAGGGAAUUUCCCACAAGGAAUGGACGAAAUUCUGGAAAUUUUAUUCAAUACUCUCAAAAACUGAAUGUAACAUGCGGCUUGAGGCUAUUAAUAGCCGUGACUAAGACCUAAUAAACUGGAAAAAUAACAAGGAAAGUUCGGCCAGCCCCUUGGGCCUUCACUUGACCGAAAGCUAGCCCAACUAACUAUAGAUCAUAAGCUUCGGUGGCGUUGCCCCCGAACCCCCACCGGGGGCUUCGCUGCGCCCCCGGGCCCCCAAGCCAGGGGCGCGUCGCCCCCUUGGACCCCCGACUCGCUGAUCGGACAGCGAGACCCCCGUACGGCUCAGCGAGGGUACUUAACUGCGGCUAAGCCCGCCGUUUGGAGCUUGAACAUUUGCAUCUUCAAUUGUAAGCAGCAUUUUAGUAGUCGUGCAAGGAUAUUCCAACUCAAUUCCUUCAAUGACCGGUUUCUCUUGGGUUUGGACUGCACGUACCAAGGCUUGAAGGGACUCCUUGAAUCUCUUGGCUCGUGCUCGUGUCACUGGGCCUUGGGGCACCUUCACAGGGUCUACUUGUACACUUUGGGCCUCGUGCUCAACCGCAUCAUUCCCCUCCUCUUGAAAAGGAUUUGCCCUCAAAUCGUACUCGUCCCCUGCAAUAAAUGGACUUAGAUCAGCAACAUUGAAUGUAGCACUAACAGUAUACUCACCAGGCAGAUCUAAGCGGUAUGCAUUGUCGUUGAUGCGCUCAAUAACUUGAAAAGGCCCAUCUCCUCUUGGUGACAGCUUGCUUUGCCGUUGUUUUGGAAACCUCUCCUUGCGCAAAUGUAACCAGACCCAAUCACCUGGUUCAAAGACAAGCUUGCGCCUGUGCUUAUUAGCUUGUUGGACAUAUUGGGCCGUCCUCCUCUCGAUGUUGGUACGAACCUUGUCGUGUAAUGAUCUCACGAACUCAGCUUUCUUCUUGCCAUCUAAGUUCAUAUGCUCAGAAGAAGGUAAUGGCAACAAAUCUAAGGGAGUUAAGGGGUUCAAACCAUACACAACUUCAAAAGGCAAGAAUUGUGUAGCACUAUGCACAACCCUAUUGUAUGCAAACUCAACAUGAGGUAGACACUCCUCCCAUGACUUGAUAUUUUUCUUUAUGAUUGCACGUAGGAGUGUGGAUAAAGUCCUAUUGACUACCUCAGUUUGUCCGUCCGUUUGAGGAUGACUAGAGGUAGAGAACAACAGUUUGGUUCCCAACCGACCCCAUAAAGAUUUCCAGAAAUAGCUCAAAAACUUGACAUCUCUAUCGGAUACUAUUGUCCUAGGUAUGCCAUGCAAACGAACAACCUCUUUAAAGAAUAAAUCAGCAAUGUGUAAAGCAUCAUCCGUCUUAUGACAUGCAAUAAAGUGAGCCAUUUUGGAGAACCUAUCUACCACAACAAAUAUAGAGUCAUGACCACGCUUUGAACGAGGUAAACCAAGCACGAAAUCCAUGGAGAUGUCAACCCAAGGGUGGUGAGGUAUGGGUAAAGGAGUAUACAAACCGUUUGGGUUGACCCGAGACUUAGCUUUGUGGCACACACCACAUCUUUCAACAAUCCUCUCCACGUCCUUGCGCAUGCGAGGCCAAUGGAAGUGUUCCUGCAAUACAGCUAAUGUCUUGGUGACACCAAAGUGUCCCAUUAGUCCACCACUAUGUGACUCCUGAAUAAGUAAGUCACGUAUGGACCCUCGAGGAAUGCACAGCUUGGUAAGAUAAAAUAAGAACCCAUCAUGUACAAAGAACUUUUCAAAGUCAGAUUUUCCCCAAUUCGCAUAAGCGUUGGCAAAAUCCAAGCCAUCCUUAUACAACUCCUUCAUGAGUUCAAAGCCUAGGAGUUUAGCAUCUAAGGCAGUGAGCAAAAUGUGUCUCCGAGAUAAAGCGUCAGCUACUACAUUAGACUUACCUGUUUUGUAUUUGAUGACGUAUGGAAAAGACUCGAUGAAGGCUACCCAUCGGGCAUGCCGUUUGCUCAGCUUUUGUUGUCCUUUUAGGUGCUUGAGAGACUCAUGGUCAGUUUUGAUGACGAAUUCCCGGGCACGUAGGUAGUGUUGCCAUGUCUCCAAAGCACGUACGAGGGCAAACAUCUCCUUGUCAUAAGUUGAAUAGUUGAGGACCGCGCCAUUUAAUUUCUCACUAAAGUAGGCAAUCGGUCUCCCUCCUUGCAUGAGUACGGCUCCUACUCCUACACCUGAUGCAUCACAUUCCACUUCAAAAGUGAGAUCAAAGUUAGGUAUUGCAAGGAGUGGUGCAUGUGUGAGUUUGUGUUUCAGCAAUUGGAAAGCCUUAUCUUGGGCUUCCCCCCAAAAGAACUUCUCGUUCUUCUUUAUGACCGCGGUAAGAGGUGCAGCAAUGGUGCUAAAAUCCUUCACAAAGCGACGGUAGAAGCUUGCUAAUCCAUGAAAGCUGCGCACAUCACUUACAGAGGUAGGUGUUGGCCACUCUUGGAUGGACUUAAUCUUCUCUUCAUCUACAUGAAUGCCCUGCGCACUUACAACAUAUCCUAGAAACACAACACGAUCAGUGCAAAAUGUGCACUUCUUAAGGUUGGCAUAUAGCCUUUCCCUUCGAAGUACUGCAAAGAUGGCUUUGAGGUGCUCAAAGUGUUCCUCUAAGCUUCUACUAUAAAUCAGAAUAUCAUCAAAGUAAACCACUACAAAUUUCCCAAGAAAAGGUCUCAAAACAUGGUUCAUCAAACGCAUGAAGGUACUAGGUGCAUUAGUUAAGCCAAAUGGCAUUACUAACCACUCAUAUAGACCAUGUUUAGUUUUGAAAGCGGUUUUCCACUCAUCUCCCUCUUUCAUUCUUAUUUGGUGGUAACCACUUUUCAAAUCAAUUUUAGUGAAUAUAAUGGCACCAUGCAAUUCAUCUAACAUAUCAUCUAACCUAGGGAUAGGGUGACGAUAUUUUACCGUGAUUGCAUUGACUGCUCGACAGUCGGUGCACAUUCUCCACGCUCCAUCUUUCUUUGGCACGAGAAUCACUGGUACAGCGCAUGGACUUAGACUUUCUCUAGCCCAACCUUUCCUUAGCAAUUCCUCCACUUGCCUUUGCAAUUCCUUUGUUUCCUCAGGACCCAUUCUAUAGGCUGGUUUGUUAGGCAAUGGUGCUCCAGGAAUGAGAUCGAUUUGGUGCUCGAUUCCCCUUAGCGGUGGUAGUCCAUCAGGUACAUCCUCAGGAAAUAUGUCCUCAAAUUCCUGCAAGAGAGGUAAAAUAGUAUAAGGCAAGGAGUCAGUGGGUAUGGAUGAAGUGACCAACUCUUCUUUGCACACAAGCACAAGUAAGAGUUGGUUGGAAGACAAAGCUCGCCUUACAUCUUUGGCUUUUGCUAGCAAGCUUAGCUUCCCCUUAUUUUCUUCUCUCAUAGCCGACCCACUUGUUGCCUUUUUCUUCCCUAGGGUUUCGGCCCUACUCUCUCCUUUUUCUUCCUCACUUUUCUCUCGCUUUUUCCUCUCAAGUUCUAGCUCAUACUCCCUUUGGAGCCUCAUUUGAUCUUCAUACACUUGUUUUGGGGUGAGAGGUACAAGUGUCACCUUUCUAUUGCAAUGAGUAAAGACAUAUUUAUUAGCUCUUCCCUUGAAUUCGACAUCGCGAUCAUAUUGCCAAGGCCGUCCAAGAAUGAGGUGACUUGCUUGCAUUGGCACGACAUCACAAGUAACCUCGUCUUCAUACUUGCCAAUUCGGAAUGGCACUUUUACUUGUCUAAACACGCGGACUUCCCCUUCAUUGUUCAACCAUUGAAGGCGAUAAGGUCUUGGAUGUUUGAUAACUUGGAGCCCUAGCAUUUCUACCAUGAGUAGACUAGCGACAUUGGCACAACUCUCACUAUCAAUAACAACACUACACACCUUAUCCUUGAUAUGACACCUUGUGUAGAAAAGGUUGUCCCGUUGUACCUCCAGUUCCUCCUCUUUGGCGCGGGUAGUGAGGACCUUUCGAACCACUAGGCAUCCAAUCUCCUCAUGCGUAGGUAUCUCCUCACUCGAUUCAUUCUCUUCCUCUUCUAGAGGCGGUAUCCCCUCGUACUCCUCUUCCUCAUCUGAUACAAUUUCCCCAUUUGGCAACAUCAGCAUGGUCCUUUGGCUGGGGCAUUGAGAAGCGAUAUGGCCAAAUCCUUGACACUUAAAACACUUGGUGUCUCGACCACGCGGUUUGGUAGCUGCAUUAUUAGCCUUAAAGUCAGGCUUGGGCGUUGCCUUGGAAGGGAGGCCAUUCGGCCUUGGAGGGUAAGAAGGAGCUGCGGCUUUCUCCUCCCUUUUUGGUUGAGAAGUGCGCCAAUUUCCAGCUGGAUAAGUAGUGCUUUGUCGCGCAGUACCCCUCCUCUUGAGGCGUCGUUCAAUUGUAACCGCCUUCUCGAGCAUUUCAUUCAUGUCGAGGUAGUGUUGGAGUUCCACUACUUCGGCAAUCUCGGGCCUCAAUCCAUGUAGAAAACGAGCCAUAGUGGCCUCUCCAUCUUCACGCAAAUCCGCCUUCAUGAUGGCCAUUUCCAUCUCCUUGUAAUAAUCCUCAACUGACAUGGACCCUUGGUUGAGAGCUUGUAGCCGACGGUGUAGAUCUCAACUAUAGUAGCUCGGAACAAACCUUUUUCUCAUCAGACUCCUCAUUUCCUCCCAAGUUUCCACAGGUCUCUCACGAUUUCUCCUUCGGCUUAGUCUAAGUUGGUCCCACCAAAUGGAGGCGUAGUCAGUGAAUUCUACGGCUGCUAGUUUCACCUUUUGCUCAUCCGUAUAGGUGUGGCAUUCAUAGACUAACUCAAUUUUUCGUUCGCAUUCCAAGUACGCCUCGGGGUCCGACUUGCCUUGGAAUGAGGGAAUCUUGAGUUUGACACCUUUAAUGGUGUCAUCUCCUCGACGUUGGAACCUUUGAUCAUUUUGGUACCUUCCCUCAAACGCUUCCUCUUCAUCGUUUGAGUAUGCCGAUUCUUUGCCCUUACUCGGGGUAGGUGGAGGCCUCGAGUUCUCCAACUGAUCAAUUCGAUCAUGCAAUGGUUCAAUUUCAUUCUUAAGCAAUCGUUUGAACUCCCCCAUCAUGGCUUCCAACUGUAGUUUGAUGUCCAUGGUUUGGCUACCCACUCCACUAGACAUAUUUAGUUCACCUGCAAAACAAAUAAACAAAAAUGAUUUCCUCUCUCUUUUUUUUUUUUUAAUACGAUGUAUAGGUCACUUACACUCGUGUUUCACUCAAGUGUAUCACUCUCUAAUAAUCUUACCAAGCAAUUCCUUGGCUUGCUAGUUGCUCGAGUUGAACAAACGAGGCGUCACCGUAGUGUACGUUCUUGACUAGUCAACAAGUGACACACAAGCUAGUAGCAAUAAAUGGAGGUGAAUGACUGAAGACCUAGACACGACUCAAGACUCAGAAUAUAGCUGGACAAUAACUAACGACUCGAAAGAAAGUAAGACAAUUAACUUGAAUGCUGAAAUUUUUAAAAUCCUAGAAAACUCUACCCGAAACCCAAAUUUCUGGAAUGUGUUGAGCUGCUGGUCCGUGGUCUUUUUGGUCCGUGAUCUGAUUUGGACACUUGGGGUUGCCAAGAUUAGAAACCUUGGAGUUUGGUCAGAUUUGGGAGUCCCAAGUGGUCCAAAUUCGAAAUUUUGGGGCUGGUCAGAUUUGGAAGUCAGAUUUUGCACCAAAUUUGGUAAACUUGUAGGCUGUCAAGAAUUGGAUGUUGUUCAGAUUUGGAAGUCCAAGUUUGAAUCAGAUUUGGUGGCUUGAAUGCUGACCAAGACUAGGGCUGUUCAGAUUUGAAAGUCCAAGUUUGAAUCAGAUUUGGUAAAACUUGAAGGCUGGUCAAGAAUUGGAAACUAGAGCCGUCUUUCUUGAAAUUUUUUUUGACUUCUGUUGGGGUGUUUUCACACAAUAGCCAGCUAGCUUAGACCACAAUUUCACAGCAAUUAACGUAAACAACUUGGACAGAUUUGGUUUCAAGAUCAAAGUUCCAUGAAAACAAGAACACGGUUGAAGGUUUAUUUCAGGUUUCAAGACUGCCAAGAUUAACCUCUUUGAUCCAAGAAGCUCAAGACUUCCCCAAUAAGGUUUUGAUGUUCGAGUUUUGCAAAGCAACAACAUAAAGGUUCAAGAAACAAGUGCAAACAGAUUCGGCAACCCAGCAAUUAAUUCCAGCAACGACUCAAGGGAAUGACAAUAAGGUAUGCAACACAAGAGAUUUUUUUUUUUCUGGAUUUAAACAGAACAUAAACACAAGACAAAACUGGACAGAAAAUUUCGGACAACAACUAAACAACAAAGACAGAUUUCUGACAAGGAAACAACCAAGACAGAUUUCUGACAAGGAAACAACAAAGACAGAUUUCGGACUUGACAAACCCGAGCACUUGAGCUACGAAUUUAGAAGACUAAAAUAGAUCUAAAAACGAUAAAAAGGAUAUUCGUGAUACCUCUAACUAGCUCUGAUACCAGCUGAUACGAGACGCGGAAGCUACUUCGGAUCUAGAGGAACACGAUGAAGAUUUGACGGAGUUGAACCCGAACUUGGACCACUCAAGAACAGAUUUAACGGUAGAGGACGACACAAUCAAGUAUGUGUGCUUGAUUGAUAAGUCAAGAACAGCCUAGGAUCAACUCUAGGAUGUUCAACUUAGCUUUUACAAGCUAAGGGAAUUUCCCACAAGGAAUGGACGAAAUUCUGGAAAUUUUAUUCAAUACUCUCAAAAACUGAAUGUAACAUGCGGCUUGAGGCUAUUAAUAGCCGUGACUAAGACCUAAUAAACUGGAAAAAUAACAAGGAAAGUUCGGCCAGCCCCUUGGGCCUUCACUUGACCGAAAGCUAGCCCAACUAACUAUAGAUCAUAAGCUUCGGUGGCGUUGCCCCCGAACCCCCACCGGGGGCUUCGCUGCGCCCCCGGGCCCCCAAGCCAGGGGCGCGUCGCCCCCUUGGACCCCCGACUCGCUGAUCGGACAGCGAGACCCCCGUACGGCUCAGCGAGGGUACUUAACUGCGGCUAAGCCCGCCGUUUGGAGCUUGAACAUUUGCAUCUUCAAUUGUAAGCAGCAUUUUAGUAGUCGUGCAAGGAUAUUCCAACUCAAUUCCUUCAAUGACCGGUUUCUCUUGGGUUUGGACUGCACGUACCAAGGCUUGAAGGGACUCCUUGAAUCUCUUGGCUCGUGCUCGUGUCACUGGGCCUUGGGGCAC
rnacentral:lncRNA from 1 species